rnacentral:rRNA from 1 species
AUUGAACGCUGGCGGCAUGCUUUACACAUGCAAGUCGAACGGUAACAGGCCUUCCGUUGCUGACGAGUGGCGAACGGGUGAGUAAUGCAUCGGAACGUGCCCAGAGGCUGGGGGUAACGCAGCGAAAGCUGUGCUAAUACCUCAUGUGAUCUGAGGAUGAAAGCGGCGGACCACGCUGCAAUGUUUGGCCUCGCCCCUCUGGAGCAGCCGAUGUCAGAUUAGGUAGUUGGUUGGGUAAAGUCCUACCAAGCCGACGAUCUGUAGCUGGUCUGAGAGGACGAGCGGCCACACUGGAACUGAGACACGGCCCAGACUCCUACGGGAGGCAGCAGUGGGGAAUUUUGGACAAUGGGCGAAAGCCUGAUCCAGCAAUGCCGCGUGCGGGAAGAAGGCCUUCGGGUUGUAAACCGCUUUUGUACGGAACGAAAAGGCUCUGGAUAAUACCUGGGGCUGAUGACGGUACCGUAAGAAUAAGCACCGGCUAACUACGUG